rnacentral:rRNA from 1 species
GAUGAACGCUGGCGGCGUGCCUAAUACAUGCAAGUCGAGCGAACAGACGAGGAGCUUGCUCCUCUGACGUUAGCGGCGGACGGGUGAGUAACACGUGGAUAACCUACCUAUAAGACUGGGAUAACUUCGGGAAACCGGAGCUAAUACCGGAUAAUAUAUUGAACCGCAUGGUUCAAUAGUGAAAGACGGUUUUGCUGUCACUUAUAGAUGGAUCCGCGCCGCAUUAGCUAGUUGGUAAGGUAACGGCUUACCAAGGCAACGAUGCGUAGCCGACCUGAGAGGGUUAUCGGCCACACUGGAACGGAGACACGGUCCAGACUCCUACGGGAGGCAGCAGUAGGGAAUCUUCCGCAAUGGGCGAAAGCCUGACGGAGCAACGCCGCGUGAGUGAUGAAGGUCUUCGGAUCGUAAAACUCUGUUAUUAGGGAAGAACAAAUGUGUAAGUAACUAUGCACGUCUUGACGGUACCUAAUCAGAAAGCCACGGCUAACUACGUG